rnacentral:rRNA from 1 species
AACUUGUGCUUCAUACGGGUAGUACAACUAAAACUUUAGAUUGUGCUAUACCUUAUGUAUGUAAGCGUAUUACCGGUGGAGUUCUUAUAUAUAUUUAUUUAAUAUUUAUAUAUUCCUCCUAUUUAAACCUGCUUCAAUGCUCUUUACCGGGUGUUGUUGUGGGCCGGUACAAUUACUUUGAACAAAUUAGAGUGCUUAAAGCAGGCUCGAAAUGCCUGAAUAUUUUGUGCAUGGGAUAAUGAAAUAAGACCUCUGUUCUACUUUCAUUGGUUUUUAGAUCAAGAGGUAAUGAUUAAUAGAAGCAGUUUGGGGGCAUUAGUAUUACGACGCGAGAGGUGAAAUUCUUGGACCGUCGUAAGACUAACUUAAGCGAAAGCAUUUGCCAAAGAUGUUUUCAUUAAUCAAGAACGAAAGUUAGAGGUUCGAAGGCGAUCAGAUACCGCCCUAGUUCUAACCAUAAACGAUGCCAGGCUAGGCAAUUGGGUGUAGCUAAUUUUAUGGCUCUCUCAGUCGC